rnacentral:rRNA from 1 species
GAGGCACUACGGUGCUGAAGCAACAAAUGCCCUGCUUCCAGGAAAAGCCUCUAAGCAUCAGGUAACAUCAAAUCGUACCCCAAACCGACACAGGUGGUCAGGUAGAGAAUACCAAGGCGCUUGAGAGAACUCGGGUGAAGGAACUAGGCAAAAUGGUGCCGUAACUUCGGGAGAAGGCACGCUGACACGUAGGUGAAGUGAUUUACUCAUGGAGCUGAAGUCAGUCGAAGAUACCAGCUGGCUGCAACUGUUUAUUAAAAACACAGCACUGUGCAAACACGAAAGUGGACGUAUACGGUGUGACGCCUGCCCGGUGCCGGAAGGUUAAUUGAUGGGGUCAGCGCAAGCGAAGCUCCUGAUCGAAGCCCCGGUAAACGGCGGCCGUAACUAUAACGGUCCUAAGGUAGCGAAAUUCCUUGUCGGGUAAGUUCCGACCUGCACGAAUGGCGUAAUGAUGGCCAGGCUGUCUCCACCCGAGACUCAGUGAAAUUGAACUCGCUGUGAAGAUGCAGUGUACCCGCGGCAAGACGGAAAGACCCCGUGAACCUUUACUAUAGCUUGACACUGAACAUUGAGCCUUGAUGUGUAGGAUAGGUGGGAGGCUUUGAAGUGUGGACGCCAGUCUGCAUGGAGCCGGCCUUGAAAUACCACCCUUUAAUGUUUGAUGUUCUAACGUGGACCCGUGAUCCGGGUUGCGGACAGUGUCUGGUGGGUAGUUUGACUGGGGCGGUCUCCUCCUAAAGAGUAACGGAGGAGCACGAAGGUUGGCUAAUCCUGGUCGGACAUCAGGAGGUUAGUGCAAUGGCAUAAGCCAGCUUGACUGCGAGCGUGACGGCGCGAGCAGGUGCGAAAGCAGGUCAUAGUGAUCCGGUGGUUCUGAAUGGAAGGGCCAUCGCUCAACGGAUAAAAGGUACUCCGGGGAUAACAGGCUGAUACCGCCCAAGAGUUCAUAUCGACGGCGGUGUUUGGCACCUCGAUGUCGGCUCAUCACAUCCUGGGGCUGAAGUAGGUCCCAAGGGUAUGGCUGUUCGCCAUUUAAAGUGGUACGCGAGCUGGGUUUAGAACGUCGUGAGACAGUUCGGUCCCUAUCUGCCGUGGGCGCUGGAGAACUGAGGGGGGCUGCUCCUAGUACGAGAGGACCGGAGUGGACGCAUCACUGGUGUUCGGGUUGUCAUGCCAAUGGCACUGCCCGGUAGCUAAAUGCGGAAGAGAUAAGUGCUGAAAGCAUCUAAGCACGAAACUUGCCCCGAGAUGAGUUCUCCCUGAGACUUUAGGUCUCCUGAAGGAACGUUGAAGACGACGACGUUGAUAGGCCGGGUGUGUAAGCGCAGCGAUGCGUUGAGCUAACCGGUACUAAUGAACCGUGAGGCUUAACCUUACA